UUUCAUUUGUGUACCGAACAGUAUUAAAGUCUCCAAGAAUAAUCCAAGGUACAUUGAGACAGCCAUUUACAAUAUUAGUCAGGUCAGACCAAAGAGUAUUUCUUUCUUGCAUACUGUUUGAAGCAUAUAUACUAGUGAAAUUGAAUUGACAGCCAUUCUUUUUGUCCUCUACCUUAAGAUGAAUGAAUUGAUCAGUAGCAGAAAUAAACCAAGCAUUAAUAGAGUUAGGAUGCCAUAAGACCCAUAUUCUACCAAAAGUUUCAUUUGAGUCAUUGGUAAACAGUUCUGCGUCCGACCAUAUUAAAUUCUUUUGAGCUUGAACGCGCGAUUGUUUAAUUUUCG
rnacentral:lncRNA from 1 species